rnacentral:rRNA from 1 species
GAAGUCCGUGAGCCAUGCGUCAAGAAAAGCCGCUAUUGUUUAUACCGUACCCGUACCGUAAACCGACACAGGUGGAUGAGGAGAGAAUCCUAAGGCCGGCGGAAGAAGCAUUGUCAAGGAACUCGGCAAAAUGACCCCGUAACUUCGGGAGAAGGGGUGCCACUGAGAAGUGGCCGCAGAGAAUAGGCUCAAGCAACUGUUUAGCAAAAACACAGGUCUAUGCGAAACCGAAAGGUGAGGUAUAUGGGCUGACGCCUGCCCGGUGCUGGAAGGUUAAGAGGAGAGGUUAGCGCAAGCGAAGCUUUGAAUUUAAGCCCCAGUAAACGGCGGCCGUAACUAUAACGGUCCUAAGGUAGCGAAAUUCCUUGUCGGGUAAGUUCCGACCCGCACGAAAGGCGUAAUGAUUUGAGCGCUGUCUCGACAAUGCAUCCGGUGAAAUUGAAGUACCAGUGAAGAUGCUGGUUACCUGCGCCAGGACGGAAAGACCCCAUGGAGCUUUACUCCAGUUUGGUACUGGGGUCCGGUAUUGCAUGUACAGGAUAGGUGGGAGGCUAGGAAGCAG